rnacentral:rRNA from 1 species
AGCGUAGGCGGACAUUUAAGUCAGGGGUGAAAUCCCGGGGCUCAACCUCGGAAUUGCCUUUGAUACUGGAUGUCUUGAGUAUGAGAGAGGUGUGUGGAACUCCGAGUGUAGAGGUGAAAUUCGUAGAUAUUCGGAAGAACACCAGUGGCGAAGGCGACACACUGGCUCAUUACUGACGCUGAGGCUCGAAAGCGUGGGGAGCAAACA